rnacentral:rRNA from 14 species
CAGAAUUAAUGCAAGCUGUGCUUGAUGACCAGAUGAAUCAUUACAACUGCAUGGAUUGUAGUUUGUACACUGUUGAUGCUCUAUCAAGGUUUCUGACCUAUCAGCUUCCGAUGGCAGGGUAAAGGCCUACCGUGGCAGUGACAGGUGACGGAGGAUUAGGGUU